rnacentral:lncRNA from 1 species
CCUUUCCAGCAUGGAGCCAAAGCAGUCUUUCAUUGAUGGACUUUACAUAGACUCAGUCUCCUGGUUUCAAUGAAUGGCAGGGGUGCUAGGGUCUUUGGGUAGCACUUCUCUACCUGUGAGAAAAGAAACCUAACACAUUUCAUUAAUGCCUGGCAGUGUUUUGCAAAUCUCAUAGUUGCUCGGGCACAUUUAAGCACCCCCUUGUCUUGGGGGUCAGCCAAGUUUUGGCUGUGGCCUUGGAUGAGCCUGCAAGCUGUUAUUUUUUUUUAGUUAACUUAUUCUGUGCUUUUUCCUCUUCUUUUUUUGGCUUCUUUUAACUUACAAAGAAAACCUUUACUCUUCUAGUAAAAUAACUUUAUUACAGAGCUUUGGAGCAACAAACCGGGACAAGCACACCCACUUUUGAGGAGUGCACUUGGUACAACCUCAGGUGUCUAAUUGCUUUCCUCCCUCCCCAGCCCUCUGGCUAGAAAUCUGAAGUAGCCAGAAGGAUCCCAUGGGCAAUAUGGGGAGUGGGUUAACCUUCUAUGUCCUUGCUUCCAAAGACUGUUGGUAUGCAACUCUUAACAACAAUUUUUGCCAUAAAACACAAAAAUAAUCCCUAUUGUGCCAGUAAAUGCAUGGUACAUUGAAUGCUGUUUAGCUGGCAUUUCUUUUGUUUUUCAGAUCAUCAAAAAAAACAACAGAGGUCUACCCCUUCUGGGCAGUCAGUCAUUGCUUAAAAUGUUUCCUUGUAUUUGUUCAUAGGCAGCCUAGAUUUCAGUGGCUUCUACCUUAUUAGUUAGAAACUUGCAUUAAUACAAAUGCUUUCUGGCUUGCUUCCAGAUCCAAAGCUAUCCACAGCUUAAAGAUUUUUACUUAAAAGGGACACUAUUAACUUUCCCAGUCUUUUGAUUGCCUUUUACUUCUAACUCCUGCUUUCAAACACACAGUGAUCUGAACAAGACAACACAACCUAUAUUGGACUCACCUUAUCGGAGCACGAACCCCAGGGGCUGCGGUGAAGCAGAGAAAAGGGGCGAAACACCCCGUUGGCGCCGUUCCCAGUUCGCCGCAGCCGUCCGGAGUCCAAUGUCCGAGCCAGGAGAGUCCCGGCGGAGUCGCCAGAAACUGUUACCGAAAUAUCGGGUCCACCUGGCUGAGAGCCAAUGACAGCCAGAUAGGGAUAAGGAGGAGUUGCUUUAUUCUGCAGAAUAAAG